rnacentral:SRP_RNA from 15 species
GGAAGGAAGCAGCGAUAGUGAUAGUGC